rnacentral:rRNA from 2 species
UCGAACGAACUCUGGUAUUGAUUGGUGCUUGCAUCAUGAUUUACAUUUGAGUGAGUGGCGAACUGGUGAGUAACACGUGGGAAACCUGCCCAGAAGCGGGGGAUAACACCUGGAAACAGAUGCUAAUACCGCAUAACAACUUGGACCGCAUGGUCCGAGCUUGAAAGAUGGCUUCGGCUAUCACUUUUGGAUGGUCCCGCGGCGUAUUAGCUAGAUGGUGGGGUAACGGCUCACCAUGGCAAUGAUACGUAGCCGACCUGAGAGGGUAAUCGGCCACAUUGGGACUGAGACACGGCCCAAACUCCUACGGGAGGCAGCAGUAGGGAAUCUUCCACAAUGGACGAAAGUCUGAUGGAGCAACGCCGCGUGAGUGAAGAAGGGUUUCGGCUCGUAAAACUCUGUUGUUAAAGAAGAACAUAUCUGAGAGUAACUGUUCAGGUAUUGACGGUAUUUAACCAGAAAGCCACGGCUAACUACGUGCCAGCAGCCGCGGUAAUACGUAGGUGGCAAGCGUUGUCCGGAUUUAUUGGGCGUAAAGCGAGCGCAGGCGGUUUUUUAAGUCUGAUGUGAAAGCCUUCGGCUCAACCGAAGAAGUGCAUCGGAAACUGGGAAACUUGAGUGCAGAAGAGGACAGUGGAACUCCAUGUGUAGCGGUGAAAUGCGUAGAUAUAUGGAAGAACACCAGUGGCGAAGGCGGCUGUCUGGUCUGUAACUGACGCUGAGGCUCGAAAGUAUGGGUAGCAAACAGGAUUAGAUACCCUGGUAGUCCAUACCGUAAACGAUGAAUGCUAAGUGUUGGAGGGUUUCCGCCCUUCAGUGCUGCAGCUAACGCAUUAAGCAUUCCGCCUGGGGAGUACGGCCGCAAGGCUGAAACUCAAAGGAAUUGACGGGGGCCCGCACAAGCGGUGGAGCAUGUGGUUUAAUUCGAAGCUACGCGAAGAACCUUACCAGGUCUUGACAUACUAUGCAAAUCUAAGAGAUUAGACGUUCCCUUCGGGGACAUGGAUACAGGUGGUGCAUGGUUGUCGUCAGCUCGUGUCGUGAGAUGUUGGGUUAAGUCCCGCAACGAGCGCAACCCUUAUUAUCAGUUGCCAGCAUUAAGUUGGGCACUCUGGUGAGACUGCCGGUGACAAACCGGAGGAAGGUGGGGAUGACGUCAAAUCAUCAUGCCCCUUAUGACCUGGGCUACACACGUGCUACAAUGGAUGGUACAACGAGUUGCGAACUCGCGAGAGUAAGCUAAUCUCUUAAAGCCAUUCUCAGUUCGGAUUGUAGGCUGCAACUCGCCUACAUGAAGUCGGAAUCGCUAGUAAUCGCGGAUCAGCAUGCCGCGGUGAAUACGUUCCCGGGCCUUGUACACACCGCCCGUCACACCAUGAGAGUUUGUAACACCCAAAGUCGGUGGGGUAACCUUUUAGGAACCA